rnacentral:lncRNA from 1 species
AAAAGAUCAUUAAAAUCCGUGCCCAGACGGAAGGAAUCAACAUCAGUGAGGAGGCACUGAACCACCUGGGGGAGAUUGGCACCAAGACCACACUGAGGUACUCAGUGCAGCUGCUGACCCCGGCCAACUUGCUUGCUAAAAUCAACGGGAAGGACAGCAUUGAGAAAGAGCAUGUCGAAGAGAUCAGUGAACUUUUCUAUGAUGCCAAGUCCUCCGCCAAAAUCCUGGCUGACCAGCAGGAUAAGUACAUGAAGUGAGAUGGCUGAGGUUUUCAGCAGUAAGAGACUCCCCAGGUGUGCCUGGCCUGGGUCCAGCCUGUGGGCGCUUGCCCCUGGGCUUGGGGCUGCCGUCCCCACUCAGGCGUGGUCUGCAGCGCUGUCAGUUCAGUGUGGAAAGCAUUUCUUUUUAAGUUAUCGUAACUGUUCCUGUGGUUGCUUUGAAAGAACCCUUCCUUACCUGGUGUGUUUUCUAUAAAUCUUCAUAGGUUAUUUUGAUUCUCUCUCUCUCUCUCUCUAAGUUUUUUAAAAAUAAACUUUUCAGAAC